UACGGAGGGGGCUAGCGUUGUUCGGAAUUACUGGGCGUAAAGCGCACGUAGGCGGCUUUGUAAGUUAGAGGUGAAAGCCCGGGGCUCAACUCCGGAAUUGCCUUUAAGACUGCAUCGCUAGAAUUGUGGAGAGGUAAGUGGAAUUCCGAGUGUAGAGGUGAAAUUCGUAGAGAUAUGGAGGAACACCAGUGGCGAAGGCGGCUUACUGGUCCAUAACUGACGCUGAGG
rnacentral:rRNA from 1 species